rnacentral:rRNA from 1 species
UAGGAAAGCUUAGCCAGGAAGUUUGCAUCUAUAUG